rnacentral:rRNA from 1 species
GACGAACGCUGGCGGCGUGCUUAACACAUGCAAGUCGAACGGAAAGGCCCUGCUUUUGUGGGGUGCUCGAGUGGCGAACGGGUGAGUAACACGUGAGUAACCUGCCCUUGACUUUGGGAUAAUUUCAGGAAACUGGGGCUAAUACCGGAUAUGAGCUCCUGCUGCAUGGUGGGGGUUGGAAAGUUUCGGCGGUUGGGUAUGGACUCGCGGCUUAUCAGCUUGUUGGUGGGGUAGUGGCUUACCAAGGCUUUGACGGGUAGCCGGCCUGAGAGGGUGACCGGCCACAUUGGGACUGAGAUACGGCCCAGACUCCUACGGGAGGCAGCAGUGGGGAAUAUUGCACAAUGGGCGGAAGCCUGAUGCAGCAACGCCGCGUGCGGGAUGACGGCCUUCGGGUUGUAAACAGCUUUCGCCUGUGACGAAGCGUGAGUGACGGUAAUGGGUAAAGAAGCACCGGCUAACUACGUG